UUUAAUGAGAAUUAAAUCUAGUAUGUUAGCUUAUGGAUUUCGAUAAAAUCCCGAAGGAUAUAGCCUGUUUUUGGUUCACUGAGAUAAUAAAAGGCUUUGUUUAUGCCGAAGUUGUUUCAAAUGCUUUUCCAGUUCAGUCCAAGAAGUGAGAAUCAUUAUAUUAAACAAUUCGUAUCAGCUCAGGAAAUUAUAUCCUGCGCCAAGUUAUGGCUUCAGCCUUCAGUACAAUCUAUUUGUUCCUAUCGUACUGGGCAAGCCAUAACAAGACGGAUAAUUCACUUAUCGAAGGAGUGAGUCACUUUCGAAACUCGUCGUCCGGCGUCUUAUUCUUUGGUUACCAUGACAACAGCGCCUUAAUAAGAAUAUUUUUUUAAAUCUGCCAGCAAUAAUACUUGUCUUAAAGAUUAAGCUUUCUUGUCUGAGAAUGUAUUUUAAUUUCCACUAGAGUCAGUUUAAACAUUGUAAGUAAAUGUAUGGUGAGAUAAUAUCUCUUAGGUUUCGAUUCGUAUCACAUAGAUCCGGUUUAAAGAGACUCCAAUAUGAUUUCGCUGCAUCAGGUGUCGUUUGUGUAAUGAAGAAGCGUAAGCGUUUUACUCCUACUUAUCCCACAUCACUUAUUCACAAGAGAUAACACUUGUAUAGUCACUGGUUUAAUGUAUUCGGCCAGCUUCUGUUUGCCCAUAGAGGGCAGCUGGGUUAAGCUUAGCGUCCAUUUUGAGUAUACAUGGAAAACAAAGAAGCUGAAGCAACCCAGCUUGCCCCUGAUGUGGUUUGGCACAUAGGAAUACUAUGACUGGAAAUUGCUUGAUAUGCACCAACAAAUCCCUACCCCCUCCUCCCCCUUUCCCCCUUCAGUAUUGCGAAUAUUGUGUAUUGGAACAACUUAAGGUAUCUCCUUUUAACUGUGCUAUUACCAUGUUAUGAAAUGCAAGAAAAACAAACAGUCGCUUUGAUUGAUGAUUUUGCUCUUGCACUGACUAACGGCGGGACCAUAAUGGACCAUAACGUGAAUUUCACGUAAACUACACCCAUCCGUCUUUUAACAACUUCUAUAGACAUCCAUUUUAUCCAGCAAGAUGCUUUCUAGCGGAAUUUGUUCUGGUUGUCAGAUUUCGUGUUUACUCGCAGUGCGCGGCAGGACCAAAAGAAAGAGCGUGAAGUUGGAUGUCACUUAAACAAUAGAGCAUCUUACGCGCGAGUCAACAGCGAACCGCGGCAUGUGUAUGUGAUACACUUUCUUAUUUGUCUCCAAACACGAUAGUCGUCUAGAAAACAAAUAUCUCGGACCGGCGGGCUAACGCUGGCCGUGUUUUCCCACGGUCUCCGACGCGCGUGGUACGCAAAGGAAGCCUCGUAUGAGUGUGCCAGACUCAUUUGGCCACAGAUCACUGGAGGAGACCGUGAUUGUCUAAAGAUAUCGCUCACAGUAUAGGAAGGGUAGCGUACUAAUUGCUUCACCACCAUGGCUAUUUAACACUUGUCUUCCUCCCUGUACAGAGCCGACAGGCAAAUAAAGGCUAAACCUAAUUGGACUCAGGCUGCACGCAACGGACGAAUAAAACAUCAGGAAGGCAUUUCUCUGUUUUAUUAAGAGACUGUUUAACCCUAAUGGGAGUUUUGAUUGACAGCAACACGCAUGCCAUCUCUAGAAAUUCCGCGAGUUAUAAUGGUGUCCAAGAAUUUCUGGCUCUUAGACACGUCUAAGAAUUCCAUUCACAGCGUCAAGUUAUUCCCGGCACUUAUACAUGCUUCACGGUUUUUCCAAUGCAGAUAUUCCCGACCGUAUACCCUUGGCGAUGUUUGCGUGCAACGCAGUCAAAUAGGUUCGGACAUGACAAGCGCGUGAUUUGACAGUCUCUACGAGAUUACGCACCAGUCCCGUGCUAGAUCUGUCUCAUCCAUGCGCACCCCACUCGCGUCUAUAAACAUUAGACCCAUGCAGUUGCAAUGAAGAUGUUAUCUUGAAGGGGCGCUAAUUAACCCAUCUGGACUCAUUACUAAAACAUCUUACAGAUGUAACUGUCACGCGACGUCCAAAGACGAAACCAUUCGGGAUGAUAAAACUGAGAAAUGUAUCUAAAUCCCGUACUUCAGAUCUGUGUACUGUUGGCUCUGAGGUGUGGAUAAACACGACAGUGUCAUACUCACUGGCUGGGCAUGUCAUGGGACAUUUAGGAAGCACCCACAAAGAGUGCUUGGUCUUUAAGGCAUGUCCCCGUCGUAGUAAACACGCCAUGCUAGGGGGCUACAGAUGGAUACCAAUAGACAAAGAAAAUCUCUAAACACAUGUAAACCUCGUAUACCGGAUGUUUCUCCUACCGGGGUCUGUGACAGACUGCAUGACUCAUUGUCUGGGCACGCUAAGGACAAGUUCAAAUAAGAGAUCUACAGUGGCGGGACGGGAUACGGCUUACGACUGACGCGCAUUAUUUCAACUUCAUCGUUUUCCCAUGAUUUUGGCAGAAUCACAGACAACAAUGGCAUCAAAUAUGCCUCCAUGGUCACCGAUAGACUGGACUCGAGUCAGAUCAUACGGUAUUAAUGAGAGAGCUAGAUGGUCCGAAUCACGGAUAAAAAGGCCCCCUUUGAGCCUCAUAAAUAUGUGUAUAUAUGUAUGUUAUAAAUAAAUGUUCCUUCAACAACGCUUGAAUUCGAAUGAAUUCAGAAGUUACUCAAGACUUGUAUUUCUUAUCUUCCAUCCGCCGUCGGGGCGAAAGAGGUCGUUCCUAAUUCCUUAUUUAGGCCAUACCUUGGGGUAUCGAUAGAAUUGUCUAAGAUGAUUGACAGCUGCAGAAAGUAUUGUUUACGGUUGGAUGACUAAAAGGCUUUUCUAAGCACCCAGCCCUAGAGCUUAAAACGACGCGCUAUAUUCAGACAGCAGACGAACGAUGGUCUCCUUUAAUCCGCGAUUAUCAGAUGCAAAUGCGACCGGAAGAGAGGCUUUUAACUUUGCGCCUCUUACAUUGUUUUCCUCAAAACUAGACGAACUUUUCCUAAUAUCAAUCAGUGCCUACUAUGAUGUCUUUUUGCGUUAUCUGUAAACGUCUUGAUCUCGAGAUAAGGAAAUUUGACGAACCCCUACAACUUUGGUAACAAAAUCGCUAGACGCAAGCGCGGCAGCACUCACAGACAAAGCAUUAGGGACUUAGAAGAUCUUGAAAUUUAAAAUUGAUAUAAAAAUGCAUACACAAACAACAAUAAGAACGAAAUAAAUAUGAAGGAAUCUGACACUCGAAGUAAUUUAAAUUGGGCUGGUUUUCAGGUUUUGCUCUGCCAUAAGCAAAAAGCCCAUUAAAGAGAAAUUAUUCGAUAUUUAGCAGCGUGUCUAUUAUCAAAGAUAACGGGUGGUGUUCUGUAGUGGCUUGUCUGUCUCAGACACAAUCGACGGAAAAACGACCCGUGUCCGGGUAGAUUACGCCGAUAGCCUGACCGCACCAUCACCAGCAAACAUAGCCCACCACUACCAUUUCAAUAUCAUCAAUUGAAGGUACUUACUGAGGUUUUGUCUCGGCGAAUGCAGCGUUACGGUACGCGGUUAACAUUACAACUGACGGAAAACGGGAAACACAGGCGGGCUGGUGGACGCAUGCGUGAUAGAGGCAAUGAUGUGAUCAUUCAAAAUGGAUGGGAAAGCUAAUACAAGUGGAUUCUACACUUUGCCACUUGGGUCUCCCCUCCGUUUAGCAAUCAAGCGCUUUUGGAUCCAAUUAUGUUAAUAUUUUAAUGUAAUAUGCUCUUAAGAAAGAACAAGGAUAAAAGAAAACUCAUUUUCUUGAAGGGUAAUCUAAAAACUCUAAAUCCGUUUUAGAAAUAGGGAAUGUCUAUUUAUUGUCAAUUCUUAGACAAAUGACUAGAAAACGUUUGUAAUAUCCUUUUAACACUCAUAUAAGUUGCACUUAUGAGCCAUUUCUGACGGAAGGUUUUUAUUACGAUCAACGAGCCAAUUUAGUGGAAAGAAUUAGUAUGGAAAAUGUGCGCGAAAAUUUUGUUUGUUCCUCUAAUUAAAUUGUCGCGUCAAGUUUUUUUUUGCUUUCUUGCCAGAGGGUUAGACUUUACGGCAACGGAAUGAGGCCAUGCACUCCAUGCAUGUGGUGUAGUUCAUUAUCACGAAUUUCAGCUUUUUUAAUGGACGUAUUUGCAAAACGCCCUUUAAAAAUAAUAACGUUUUACCUGAAAACACAGAAACAAAUGUAAAAAUAGAUCUUUUACCUGAAGCUCACUGUAUUCGACGUUUUUGCAUAAUUUGACCCAUAGCAUAUACAUUAGCACCGACAAUGUAUACCAAACAAUCAAACUAAAAUCAACUAAGGAUGAAGCCACAACUAGACCUACCAGUAUAUGCUGCGCAUACGCAUUCAUAAGUUUCACAAAAGAAACGAUAACAUGCCCUCAGUCAAAAAAAGCACUCUGCUGUUAGCCUGCAACUAUUUUCAAAGCAAAUCAAAUCAAGUUAUAUCACUCACUUGUCGGUAUUUCCCAAGUGCCAAGGGCCCUUAAAUAGGAAACUUUCUCAAGAUUUCCCGAUAGCUAAUACCCUGACUAUGCCUUUUACUUUGCCUUUGCCUUACCCGCGUUCUGGGACACAAAAUUUUCCCUUUGAAUUAGAUCAAGAUACCGCAGAUCCUUAAGGAAAUAUAACCUCCGACGGCCAACUAUAUUAUAUCUUAUUUCUUUUAUAUGCUCGCGCCAUUAGUGUUUAUACAUGAGGCGUUUAUCUUCAUGGGAAACUCCUGCUACGACCCGCAGACUUAAAAAGGGACCGACAUAUUUUGUGACGACGAUUUUAUGACAUUGGAGUUCUAUUUUGUUAAACAUUCUAUAGCUUAAAAAAUAGAGUCAAUUUAUUAUUCAUAUAGCAGCAGCAGCCGGCAAGUUGUUUUUGUUUUGAUUUCAAUAAGAUGAAAAAGCGUGAAACCAUAAAACAAAACGAUACAAUAAAGAUGCAAUGAAGAUUAUUGUAGAAUUUCUACUUUCAGCAAAACCCACGGAUAGCGGCACUUUAUGCCGGCAGCUAAUUGCUGAAGGAAGAGCCAUCUCUGCACAUCAAUUGGAUGCGAUCAGAAAACACCACUUGAUUAUUGAAAAACAUUGUUCCGCCAAUACGCACGCGAUGAUCGAGUACUAGACUUUGGGAGCCAGGCGGCACACGACAACCAAUGCAAGGAACCCAACAAGAGAGAGCGGCAAGUAGAAAACAAGUAAUGGCCAUGCCUCCCUUGAUGCUCAGUGCGCGCGGAGUAAUAAUAACCCAAUUUGUUAAUUUGCUCAAUAACUAGCACGGGGUGGUAGCUUGUGUCCUCAGGGCUUUAAACUUGACAUUAAUUAAUCUAAUUUUAAUGGAAAAUUCCCUCAAAAUACGAAGUCUGAAAUGGACUGCUGGGUAAUUUUCAGAACACAACAAGAUCAGGUUAAUUUCGAACUUUUUUUAUUUAACACUUUUUACACGAAAUGCUGUACAAAUGCCCAGUCUAUAAGCAACCUCGAGCGCGCUUUUUGGAGAGAAAUUCAAGAGUCCACAUAAAAAAAUCAACAGCAAAGGGUUUUUAACCAUAAUGCCGCCAUCUUGGAUUCUACACCGCCACCUAUCUUGGAUUGGGUUUAAAGUAAUGGAAUAAAAAACAGAAUGGUGGCAUUGUAAAUCAGCUAUAAUACGUUAUUUGUUCUUAGGAACUAGAGUGCGAAUAAAUGGUUACUGAGUCUUGAAGCAUUCGCAUCAUUCUCAUGUUAAAAGACACAGGGUUCCCACAGAACAUUGUAAGGCGCUGUAUAUUCGAGUAAACGGACUUUUGAGAAAAAAAACAUGACUGAAUGGCGAAUUAAAGAUUGUCAUUUAAGUGUUUCAUUGUUUUAUGUGGUGAUGAACAAAAAAGAACUUGCACUAAAGAUAAUGUCAUUUUCAGCUCGUCAUAAUGACCAGCUGUAGGCGUUCUUGGGCGCGCACGACGACACAGAAGACCAAGCGUAAAAACUAUGACAACCAUUGCAUUGGUGCAUUCCACAAAUAUGAAAAUACCUUUUCUAUCUACAUCUGUCAUUUAAAAUCACUAAACUGAAAUUGGCGAAAUUGUUUAAAAACGCGAUUUGAACAAAAGCUUAGAAUUAAAAGGUAUAAUUUAAAAUCUAAACUAAAUAGUAUUAUAUUCUAUACAGCUGUAUGAAUCUUCGUGCAGGUUUUAAAAACCCUAAUAUAGAUAAAUCCUUCGCACAAACGUGCUAGAUACAUUAUGACAUUGCAAUAAAAUGAUAUUUCACCUAAACGGGGCGCGCGCUUCGUCAACGAAACACAAGCCAUUAUAAAUAAGAAAUAACUCGCUGAUUUGACCUUGGAGUGCACCAGCCUUCAAAUGAACCUGCAAACAACAAAUCAGGUCAUUUAGUAUCACAUGGAUGAGAUAUACCAUAGAUGUCGCCUGUAAAAAAUAAAGUGAAUACCAAAAAGGCAAAUCAAGGAAGUACAAGAAAAAAAAUGUUUCCAAGAUCCUCGGGGAUCCUGGGUGUAGAGCAUAAGGGCAAGAAAGGCAUGGAAACGAGCGAGAGAAAAAGGAGGCGAGGAGGAGAAAGGAGGGAGGGGAAGUGAGAGAACGAUGGGGAAUCCUAUUUUGUAAAUAUCAGAGUAUUGCCAGGGUACAGUAAAGCAAGGGUAUGGAAUUUUAUUACAACUGGAUGACCUUUAACCCAGCCGAUACAGGCGUGAGAUGAAAAAAAAAGAGGCUUCAAUCCAUAUGAGAAAGCGACUUUAAUGAGAAAGCCCCAUACAAAAUAAAAGAAAAUAAAUUUUUGUCUAAACAUCAUGGGGUACGAUAUAACAUCACCUCCAAAACAUUCACGUCUUUUAUUCCUUCUUUUUAUUAAUCAUAGGAACAGGAGUUGGGGAAAAGUAUGCUUUAAUUGUUCAUACAAUUUGACUGUUUAUCUAAACAAGUAUUCUCGAUAAUAUUCGUGCUGUUGUGUUUAUGGAAGCUCAAUCCGUUAAAAGGCAACACUUCAUGCAUAGGUUAUAGCAUGGCUAUGUUUAUGGAUGCUGAAGAACGGUUAUUUCCUACGCCAGCACUUCUCAACACCUUUUAUUCUAUGUUAAUCGUGCUGAGGUCCACAGCCGUUAAGUGUCAAGUGCGUCACGAUACUGGUUCUGGACAAAUUGGAUAAAUUUGUCCAUUUUAGCGAUGGCGGCUUCAAGGUUUUGUCAUGGUUUUCUCGUCCAACCCAUUACUUCAACAGAUCUUAGCAAACAUUUUAAUAAAAGACAUGGAAGCAUUCCGGCAAUGUCUUGGAAGUAUGCCUUGUAAACGUUUCAGUUAGACUCAUCCGAAAAUAUAAUCUUUCUAGCGAAUCAAGACUUUCCACUCGGUCUAGCUGCCCUGCUAAAUUCCACUACGCAGACUUAAUCGCGUGUAAAGCUAUUCUAGAGAAGGGCGCAAUGGGUACCCCUGACAAGGCUGACAUGCUGUGCUACACACACGCAAAAACACAAAAUAGAACUAUGCGAAUGAGGGCACACUCGGUUAGUCGAAUAUCGGGUGUGGCUUAAUUGGUUAAAAUGUGAAAACUUUGGUGGCUCAGUACAGCAGUCAUGUCAUUUGCCCCGUUAGUGUUUAAAGAUCUUCUUGUUGUACCAGGCUUGCCGAUAAGCGACUUUGUUUAUUUAACAAGAAGCACCAUGACCUCCUAUUGUGAUACCAGGUUACACGUUUAACACUCUACCUGCAAGCAACGUUGUGGCCAACGGGCCAAUAUCAUUGACUUUUAACACGCUUCUAUACCAUACAGUCACACUCGUGUUUAUUCAGGUGGAUUUUAGAAUAACGAGAUCUUUACUGCGCUCCUUUUGUCAUUAACUACCAUGUUAUUCGUGGUGCUGAGGUAAAAACAGGUGCAAUUUUACAAGGGACUUAACUAAAAUCUCCUGGACGCCCUUGUCGCUUGCGAUCUCAAUACUUAUACAAAUAUUUUGUAUAAGCUCGCUAAGGUCCACUUCGCAUUAUAGGGCUUGUAUUUUAAAAAGGAUAAGCAGAGUGGACUAUUUUUGGCAAAAGUAUCCGUCUUUGUACUCGUAUUCAAUAAUUCCGGAACCUAUUUCUCUAAUGUGACAGUUCUUUUAGCUAAUGCUACUGUUCCUAACCUGGCUCUCUGGUAGCACGAGUCAACACAGCAUCCGCCCUCGCAUAUUGUUGUUGGCAGAUAAAAAAAUAAUAAUAGAAAUUAAGGGUAAGCCAAUCAAUUUGAGGGAUAAAAGUAAGGAAUAUUUGAAAAGACCAUCCGCCUAUCGCCACAUUGUCUGAAAAUUGACACAAGUUGUUUCUGGCAGCAAUAAAGCUUUGGGGUGUAGCCUGGUUUUGUGUUACAUGGGUCCUAUUGUUCCGAAUAACAUAAUAUAUAACCAAAAGGAAAAUGACAUUGGUCUAAAUGGACGACUGUAAGUUUUAUGUUGAAUGGGUACCUGUUACAUCGCUAUAUUGCCUUGUUUAAAAAAUAAGCCCAUAAGUAUUAAGUGUUCCGUUCCAUAUAACAAAACUUAUAUUUACUGUCUGUGUUUCUAAAGAAUAUUUAAUAGUAUUGUUAGGACUAAUCAAAAUUCCCUGCCCUAGAAUUUGAAUCGUUGAUGUCAAGUCUGCGCGACACUCUCGCGACUCCAUUGGGAAGAUGUGAACGCUCUUUGAAAAGAAAUAUUUAAGCAACACAUGAUAAUUUACAAUUUCUUUGUCAAACAGAUACCUAAACAAUAAACAGAGCGAAUAUCCAUUUUAUUUUUCAGAGGAUGGAAUAUCAAGAACCUCUCUAUAAGGGGAAUACAUAGACAAUUGCGAAUUUUUGCAAAGUGGGAAAUACAUAGACAAUCGCGAAUUUUUGCAAAGUUUUGAAGAAAAAAUGUUCUCGCUUAUUAAAGCGCGAUGUAAAGUAAAGUUUGUUCUGAUAAAACGUGAUGCCCUUAGCGGCAAGUUAACUCCUUUGUCUUCAGUAAUCCAAGUUGUCCUUAAUUCGAUGUUAAUUGUUAAGUCAUUAGGGCUAAGAAGAGAUACCGCAAGGACAAUACUCAGACAGAGACAGCCAUGUCAGCUGCGAGACGUAUGGUUAACUUGCUCGAUAGAAGCGCUUAUACUCCUGGAAAACAGACGACACUGAUGAAAAUAUUAAAGCCACGAGGAAGCGAGUAAACAGCACUUAUUUGAUAAGAUUUAACAAAUAAGCGUAAAACACUCUUUAAUGAGAAGUAAAUUAAACGAGUCAAUAAACUAACAAGAUAUAAAGAAGGACUGCAUUUGGGUACGUGUUUAUGUGUCAUGGCCGAGAAGAAUAGGAAGCCAGACAAAAUGCUUAAAAAAGUAAGAUUAAAAAACAAUCGCGAUGGAUUUGCGUCGGUUUAUUACUAACGUCCCAAGUAUGCAACAAGCAUGAUCGCUAUGCUUUGUUAAUAAAUCCGAGCACAAUUUUUAAACAUUCUGGCAAACCAAACAGGUGUCAUAGCAAAAAAAAAAUCAUAUCUAUUCAAAGAAUCCAGAGACUCGGUGAAUCGCGGCGAGUUCAAAGACAUUUCACUGUAAGUGCUACCCGCGCAGUCAACUUACACACGGGGUUUUUACGAACUGGUUGAAAUUCAAGCGGUAAACCAACGGGUGAAUUAGUGUUGCGUUAAACAAUCAAAUCAGCUCGUAUGUUGCUAGUGUUUUAGCACGGGUAAUAGCUGAUUUAGCAACCUUUGCUAUGCGCGGUCCGCGGUUCAUGUAUUGAUUUUUAUAGUCUUUUAUCUAGACCUUCGCAGGCAAGCCCUACUUGCGAACCGAACAAGAAAAGAUAUUGCUUGGUAACAGCCUACAUAGCAAGCACUUUUUAGCGAGGCAUGCGAUUUUUAAAAAGACUUUAUAUUAAAAAAACCCCGGUGUUUUCUCAUUCUUAUAUUCAAGCUGAAAGAUAGGUAGAGCCAAGACCCCAAACAUAUAAAGACGCCUUCAUAGAAGGUUAGGCCGUUAUGAUUCAUUGUAAAAAUUGCGCGUUUGUUUGAUCUGUCAGCUGUUUACCAAGCACUUUGAAAUAUUGAUGCCUCGCUGGGAGAGGCUUGGGAACUUGGUAGGCCUAGUGGGAGGUCUGCGAAGCUAUGCACUUACUAUUAUUAAAAGCCUUAAGGGGUUUAAGAACGGAAAACGUUAUAACUAUUUCUAUGGUCAAAAUUCAAAAUAACGAUAGUGAGCAGCGCUUGUUGUUGUCAACGGAUAAUUGAACUUUUUUAGUAAGCACCUGAACAAUGUAUUUGUAUCCUAGUUUUUAGUUUAUUUUUAAUUUGUUUCGCGCGCAGGCGAACAUUAAAAAAAAAAAAAGAAUCUAUCACCAUUUUAACCCGAUUAAUAAAAGGAUGGAGAAAGCUAAUUUAAUUUUAUGAUUCAAUUUUCUACAUUCUGUAUGUACCAGGAGUUUUUUCGUCAUAAAAAUAUCAAUUAGUUGCAAAGCCCUUGACAAUCAAUCAAAAUCAGCCAAGGAUCACCGCCGCCACGAAUAUCUGACAAUCAAAGCAUACAUGAUAAAGUUCAAGAGGAAUCAGCGAUGCCACAUCGAACCUGCAAGCAAGUGGUUCCUUCACAAUCAAUCAAGCCUUACCCUUUUAGAACUAAGAAACCAUUGGUAUAUACUCAUGUCGAGCACAAGAAAAAUAAAAUUUACGACGAUAUGAUAUCGAUUUAGGUGGCUUUCUUGAGUGUUAUAAAUACAGCGACUAUGUAGCGGCACAGUAUAGAACACUCGAGCAAACCACGCACAUAAGUCCAGUGAACAUCAAAGCUUCGCUAACAGCCGAAGGGCAGACUAAGUGAAGGCUGAUAAUAAGACAUGAAAGCGAGCGCUAAUCGGUAGAACACUCGAGCAAAACACGCAAGAGAAGCGAAGUAGAAAAGACGUGCCUGCAGGCUAGAUGCCGACUGCACCGCCUUCACCGUGUAGCGCGCUUUAUAGAGCAAUUAGGACCCCGAUAACUUAGCUGACUUUUAGGGAGUCAAAACAAUGGAGUAUCUAUUCACAGGAAAUGGAUACGAAAUUAAUGGAAAUUACGCGAAAAUAUGACUUGUAAGCUCGAGGGCGAUCGGUUCAGGGUUAUUUUGAUUCGGAAGAAAU